AAGACACACUUUCAGUUCACCUGUGUUCUCUUUAUGCUUUCAGAUCAAACUCCAUCCAGUGACUGCUCGACAUCAUGGCCCCAAACCCAGGAAAGCAUGAAGUCUUGAUAAGGAGCUGAAAACACCAGCUGAGCAUCCUCACUGUGUAUUAUGGACUCUCUAACCUGUGGUCAUGUGCACCAUUCAUUUGCAUCGGAAUUUUGGUCUUAGGCCUAUUUUUGUGCUUAGGCAGAUUCUUUAACACUGAGCCUCCAGAGAAGCCAUGAGGAAACACAGGGACUUCUCAGAGGAACAGAACAUUCACUGAGAAUCCUUAACCCCGGGGAGGUGCCUAUCCAAUCUGUGAUGCCCAAGGCAAGAUCAGCUUGGGAACAGGGUGGUGUAUGUCCACAAAGAGAAUGCUGCAGAGGAUGCUGGAUCCUGGAAAUGACGUCCAGGGAUUCCACAGGGAAUGGUCUGAUAUACCUCAGGAUCUUAGAGAUGUGCCCUGCACUUCCAUGGCAAUGAUUACCACUGACCCACCAUGAGGAGGCUUGCCCAGGGGCUGCAUCAAGUCCUGCUGGCUCCACCUGAAGCACCAUGGCCCGGAAGUCGCUCCUGCCUUUUGAUGCCAGGCACAGCCUUAACCUGUGUCUCUGCUGCCUCCACACUUUUGAACCUGCCUGAACCUGGGGAUGCUGGCGGAUGUUGCAUCUUUCCUGGCUACUACUUAUUUGUUGUGUUAUUCGGAUCUCAUACUCUGUCCCUCUCUCCCCUGGAAAUUGUUUUGUUUUCAAGACACCUCAGAGAAUUGGCAGCUCAAUUGGAAAUGGAAGGAUUUGUGUACCUUUUUUAAGUUUCUACCUCUGUCACUCUUAAUAAAGGCAGUGAGAAAAUAAACUAAAUAUUAGAAGAAAAAAAAAAAGAAAAGAAAGAAAGAAA
ensembl:lncRNA